AGUGGGCCCUCCCUCCCUCAGAAGAUGAAGAGGGGAAGGGAGAGGUGAGGGGAGGCUCUGCUCAGCCCUGAGGCACAGAAGACAGAAUCGGUGAUGACCACCACCAUGGCCUGGUCUCCUUUCCUUCUCACUCUCCUCGCUCACUGCACAGGGUCCUGGGCCCAGUCAGUGUUGACUCAGCCGCCCUCAGUGUCGGGGUCCCUGGGCCAGAGGGUCACCAUCUCCUGCAUUGGAAGCAGCUCCAACAUCGGGGGUGGUAAUUAUGUGAGCUGGUACCAACAAGUCCCAGGAACGGCCCCCAGGCUCCUGAUUUAUGAGAAUAACAAACGACCCUCCGGGGUCCCCGAUCGAUUCUCUGGCUCCAAGUCUGGCAGCUCAGGCUCCCUGACCAUCACUGGGCUGCAGGCUGACGACGAGGCUGAUUAUUAUUGUGCAUCAUGA